AUAUCAGUAAGCGGAGGAAGAGAAACCAACAGGGAUUUCCCGAGUAACUGCGAGUGAAAAGGGAAGAGCUCAGCGCCAAAGACGUGUGCCUAGCGCAUUCGUCGGUGUGGCGUUCGAAGGGCCCGAUCUGUGAAUGUGUGGCGGUCUAAAUUUCGCUGGAACGCGGUUGCAAAGAUGGUUUUACACCAGUCUGGCCGUCGCUGCUCGCAGAGUAGGCGCUUUUGGAGUCGAGUUGUUUGGAAA
rnacentral:rRNA from 1 species